rnacentral:rRNA from 1 species
ACGUAGGAGGCGAACGUUAUCCGGAUUUACUGGGCGUAAAGCGCGUGUAGGUGGUUUGGUAAGUAGGGCGUGAAAGCUCCUGGCUCAACUGGGAGAGGCCGUUCUAAACUGCCGAACUAGAGGAUGGUAGAGGGAGGUGGAAUUCCGGGUGUAGCGGUGGAAUGCGCAGAUAUCCGGAGGAACACCGGUGGCGAAGGCGGCCUCCUGGACCAUUCCUGACGCUCAGACGCGAAAGCUAGGGUAGCAAACGG